UCGGGAAUUUUGGGCAAUGGGCGAAAGCCUGACCCAGCAACGCCGCGUGAAGGAUGAAGUAUUUCGGUAUGUAAACUUCGAAAGAAUAGGAAGAAUAAAUGACGGUACUAUUUAUAAGGUCCGGCUAACUACGUGCCAGCAGCCGCGGUAAUACGUAGGGACCAAGCGUUGUUCGGAUUUACUGGGCGUAAAGGGCGCGUAGGCGGCAAUUCAAGUCAUCUGUGAAAUCUCCGGGCUUAACUCGGAACGGUCAGAUGAUACUGCUUUGCUAGAGUGCAGAAGGGGCAAUCGGAAUUCUUGGUGUAGCGGUGAAAUGCGUAGAUAUCAAGAGGAACACCUGAGGUGAAGACGGGUUGCUGGGCUGACACUGACGCUGAGGCGCGAAAGCCAGGGGGAGCAAACGGGAUUAGAUACCCCCGUAGUCCCUG
rnacentral:rRNA from 1 species